GAGAAUGAGGAGAUGGGCAAGCAGCCCCAUUUAUAGUGCCAGGCACAGCUAGCUGUUGCCAGGUAACUGUGGGGGUGGAGCUUAGACAGAAUGCCAACAGUCUAGAGACCAGAAAUUCUAAGGACAUGGUGCUGACAGUUGGAUAUAACCUUUCUGUUACAAGUGUGUAUGUAGCAGUUUGAACUUCCAAACAAGAACUUCUCCCCAGGAUCAAGAACUCAACCCUGCCCAGUAAGAACUCUGCCCCAGGAGACCUCAACUGAUACCAAAGAUGGCCUUCCCUUCUCGUAUCUUCCUCUUCUGUUGUUCAAAUACCGGAACCUGACAUCGGUUGUCUCUAAUCCUCCAAAGAACUAACAACCCAGAGCAAAAGGAAAUUGUUUAUCUCUUGUUUGGAAAAAGCUGGACCAGGACAAGCACAGAGAUCGGCACAGCAGUGGACCCGGCUCACCAGGACCUCCGAGUUCUCUUCUUUGUACUCCACCUUUGGAAGAAGCUGCCUUUCCAAAACCUCACAGCCAAGAUACCUACUACAGUUCUAGGAAAAAAACCCAAAAAACAAUAAAACAAAACACCCCCAUUCCAGGUCCCUAGUGGUGGGAGAGAGAUUCCUUUUAACGUCUGAUUCUUGGGAAGACCCAGCCUAAGGCAUGAUGUCACUACUUGCCUUGCAUCUGGAAGAUUCUUUACUCCUUCUGCAUCUUACUCCAGAGACACAGCAAAGCAGUCAUCAACAGUUUGAGCAUGGAGGCGAGGAGCUACAGGAGAGAUGCUGAAGAUACCCAGUGAGUUCAUUGAGAUGCUGAAUCAACUCAAAAGAAGAGAGAGGAUCACAGCACUGACAUAGAAAGUAGGCCCUCCCCAAGUUAGUAUCAAUGGGGAACACAGCAGAGAAUGAAUGAGAACAUCAGUGGGGAAAUAUGCAGAAUCCAGGAGGCAGUAAAGGACACCAGAGGCAUAUGAAGGGGACAUAAUUCCUCACCUUACACAAUGGGAAAUUAACAGACACAUCUUGAGGUAGGAGCCCUGGAAAUUUCUGACCUCUGUGUUUUAUAAUACACAGCCAAUCAUGCAAGCUAAACAGUAGUUAUCCAUUUAUAUUUCAUCUUUUGAGAGCUGUUUAUUCAUUUCAUUAGUCUCUGUCACCUAGAGAUUUAUCAAUAUUACACCAUCUUUUCCUCAUGUAUACUAAAUAAAGUUCACGAUCUUUACUGUGGCAUAUAA